rnacentral:rRNA from 1 species
GACGAACGCUGGCGGCGUGCUUAACACAUGCAAGUCGAACGGAAAGGCCCUGCUUUUGUGGGGUGCUCGAGUGGCGAACGGGUGAGUAACACGUGAGUAACCUGCCCUUGACUUUGGGAUAACUUCAGGAAACUGGGGCUAAUACCGGAUAGGAGCUCCUGCUGCAUGGCGGGGGGUGGAAAGUUUCGGCGGUUGGGGAUGGACUCGCGGCUUAUCAGCUUGUUGGUGGGGUAGUGGCUUACCAAGGCUUUGACGGGUAGCCGGCCUGAGAGGGUGACCGGCCACAUUGGGACUGAGAUACGGCCCAGACUCCUACGGGAGGCAGCAGUGGGGAAUAUUGCACAAUGGGCGGAAGCCUGAUGCAGCAACGCCGCGUGCGGGAUGACGGCCUUCGGGUUGUAAACCGCUUUCGCCUGUGACGAAGCGUGAGUGACGGUAAUGGGUAAAGAAGCACCGGCUAACUACGUG